UAGUUCCUACGGGGGGCAGCAGUGGGGAAUAUUGCACAAUGGGGGAAACCCUGAUGCAGCGACGCCGCGUGAGUGAAGAAGUAUUUCGGUAUGUAAAGCUCUCUCAGCAGGGAAGAAAAUGACGGUACCUGACUAAGAAGCCCCGGCUAACUACGUGCCAGCAGCCGCGGUAAUACGUAGGGGGCAAGCGUUAUCCGGAUUUACUGGGUGUAAAGGGAGCGUAGACGGCAUGGCAAGUCAGAUGUGAAAGCCCGGGGCUCAACCCCGGGACUGCAUUUGCAACUGUAGUUCUUGAGCACUG
rnacentral:rRNA from 1 species